rnacentral:misc_RNA from 1 species
AUUUAACUACUAGCGCACAAUAUAGAUUAGUGUUCAUAAAUAAGAGAACACUUUGAUUGAUUUGUGGUUGUGAUAAUGCCAGCUAUCACGAUAUCCAGGAAAGGAUUAACGGUUGCGUUGCGGGAUGGAGAAAUACGCCAAACAUCUUUGCAGAUAUCGAACACGUCCAGAAAUAGACCGUGGACGAUUCGAGCGAUAAUUACGAGCAUCGAUCGGUCGAACCAAUAACAGAUAGCUCCGAUAUCCGAAGAAUUCGCGACUAACGACGAGCUACUUCUCUCCUUCUCACUACUACAGUAGCGAAUUCCGGGCACCGAUAAAUUCACCUGGAGACGAGCACGGAAG